AGAGUUUGAUCCUGGCUCAGGAUGAACGCCGGCGGUGUGCCUAAUACAUGCAAGUCGAACGCGUUGGCCCAACUGAUUGAACGUGCUUGCACGGACUUGACGUUGGUUUACCAGCGAGUGGCGGACGGGUGAGUAACACGUAGGUAACCUGCCCCAAAGCGGGGGAUAACAUUUGGAAACAGAUGCUAAUACCGCAUAACAAUUUGAAUCGCAUGAUUCAAAUUUAAAAGAUGGCUUCGGCUAUCACUUUGGGAUGGACCUGCGGCGCAUUAGCUUGUUGGUAGGGUAACGGCCUACCAAGGCUGUGAUGCGUAGCCGAGUUGAGAGACUGAUCGGCCACAAUGGAACUGAGACACGGUCCAUACUCCUACGGGAGGCAGCAGUAGGGAAUCUUCCACAAUGGGCGCAAGCCUGAUGGAGCAACACCGCGUGAGUGAAGAAGGGUUUCGGCUCGUAAAGCUCUGUUGUUAGAGAAGAACGUGCGUGAGAGCAACUGUUCACGCAGUGACGGUAUCUAACCAGAAAGUCACGGCUAACUACGUGCCAGCAGCCGCGGUAAUACGUAGGUGGCAAGCGUUAUCCGGAUUUAUUGGGCGUAAAGCGAGCGCAGGCGGUUUGAUAAGUCUGAUGUGAAAGCCUUUGGCUUAACCAAAGAAGUGCAUCGGAAACUGUCAGACUUGAGUGCAGAAGAGGACAGUGGAACUCCAUGUGUAGCGGUGGAAUGCGUAGAUAUAUGGAAGAACACCAGUGGCGAAGGCGGCUGUCUGGUCUGCAACUGACGCUGAGGCUCGAAAGCAUGGGUAGCGAACAGGAUUAGAUACCCUGGUAGUCCAUGCCGUAAACGAUGAGUGCUAGGUGUUGGAGGGUUUCCGCCCUUCAGUGCCGCAGCUAACGCAUUAAGCACUCCGCCUGGGGAGUACGACCGCAAGGUUGAAACUCAAAGGAAUUGACGGGGGCCCGCACAAGCGGUGGAGCAUGUGGUUUAAUUCGAAGCUACGCGAAGAACCUUACCAGGUCUUGACAUCUUGCGCCAACCCUAGAGAUAGGGCGUUUCCUUCGGGAACGCAAUGACAGGUGGUGCAUGGUCGUCGUCAGCUCGUGUCGUGAGAUGUUGGGUUAAGUCCC
rnacentral:rRNA from 1 species